CCCAUCCGGUCUAAAGAGAACCGGGCCUUCGACUUUGCUUAAGUUAAGGCGAGAUUUUCCUCCUGUCCCUAACAGGGCUGUGGGAGUUCCCCUCUUGCUUUCGAUACAGUUUGUUUUGACUGCCCUGUCGAUAUAAGAUAGUGCCAAGAGGGGAGACAUGUAGAUAUGCAACUUUUAUUUAAAAUAAAGUUAUCGGUAAUACAUCCGUAAGUUUUUCGAGCUCCAUGGUCACGGGAGGUCUGCUCCUUCGAGCUCCUUGAGAUAAUAAGUUUCGGGCCGGACUACUUCUUUGACCUCAUACGGGCCUUUCCAGUUUGGGGCG
rnacentral:lncRNA from 1 species